GCCCAGCUGUUGAGUCUCAAAUAGGACGAAACGCGCUUCCUAUAU
rnacentral:hammerhead_ribozyme from 1 species